CCUACGGGAGGCAGCAGUGAGGAAUAUUGGUCAAUGGUCGGGAGACUGAACCAGCCAAGCCGCGUGAGGGAUGAAGGUACAGAGUAUCGUAAACCUCUUUUGUCAGGGAACAAAGGCGGGGACGUGUCCCCGGAUGAGUGUACCUGAAGAAAAAGCAUCGGCUAACUCCGUGCCAGCAGCCGCGGUAAUACGGAGGAUGCGAGCGUUAUCCGGAUUUAAUGGGUUUAAAGGGUGCGCAGGGGGUCUGUUAAGUCAGCGGUGAAAGCCCGGGGCUCAACCCCGGCCCGCCGUUUGAAACGGGCAGUAUCGAGUUGGAGAGAAGUAUGCGGAAUGCGCGGUGUAGCGGUGAAAUGCAUAGAUAUCACGCAGAACUCCGGUUGCGAAGGCAGCAUGCCGGCUCCACACUGACGCUGAGGCACGAAAGCGUGGGUAGCGAACAGGAUUAGAUACCCCUGUAGUC
rnacentral:rRNA from 1 species